CGAAACGCGAUGAUAGGAAAUAGUAACAAUGUUUCUUUCUCCAGAGAGCUGGUGGUUGGUGUGAACCAGUGAAGGAAGUUGUGAAUCCAUCCUAGAGCUGAUAUGCUGAAUGUUAAGUAAGUGUAUCCGGUGUUUUGCGCCGUUAUUCAUCAACAGAGCCGGGAGAUAAGCAUGUUUAUUUCCAAGUAGGGUGGCAUCGCGGGAAAUACAACUCUCGUCCCUUUU
rnacentral:ncRNA from 1 species